CCCGGUGGCCAUAGCGGAGGGGUCACACCCGGUACCAUUCCGAACCCGGAAGUUAAGCCCUCCAACGCCGAUGAUACUGCCUGGGCAGCUGGGUGGGAAAGUAGGACGCUGCCGGGA
rnacentral:rRNA from 1 species